rnacentral:rRNA from 1 species
UAGGGAAUCUUCCGCAAUGGACGCAAGUCUGACGGAGCAACGCCGCGUGAGCGAUGAAGGUCUUCGGAUCGUAAAGCUCUGUUGUCAGGGAAGAACACGUGUGAGAGUAACUGCUCACACCUUGACGGUACCUGACCAGAAAGCCACGGCUAACUACGUGCCAGCAGCCGCGGUAAUACGUAGGUGGCAAGCGUUGUCCGGAAUUAUUGGGCGUAAAGGGCUCGCAGGCGGUCCCUUAAGUCUGAUGUGAAAUCUUGCGGCUUAACCGCAAGCGGUCAUUGGAAACUGGGGGACUUGAGUACAGAAGAGGAGAGUGGAAUUCCACGUGUAGCGGUGAAAUGCGUAGAGAUGUGGAGGAACACCAGUGGCGAAGGCGGCUCUCUGGUCUGUAACUGACGCUGAGGAGCGAAAGCGUGGGGAGCAAACAGG